UUGAAAGGGAAACGAUUGAAGUCAGUCGUACCAGCGGGAAUCAACCUUUCGAGUGGGGGUUUUGGAGUUUUUUGAAGAGUGUCAAAACCUUUGAGAUUUCAAAAUAUUCGCUCUUUUGGUGUACUUUCUCGUGGGUAGGUUAACAUCGAUUUUGAUCAUCAUAAAAAGAUUGGAGGAAUGUAGCUUCGAUCUUGUAUUGAAGUGUUAUAGCCUUUGGUAAAUGUGAUGAUUAGGAUCGAGGAUUGCAACGAAUACCCUUUUGGGCUAUCCGCCUGAUCUCUGAUACGUGGCCUUGGUAUCGAAAGCGUGCUUAUGGUAUUGAGGUAUUACGGUCAAAAGGUUAGAACGGAUUACAUUCGUUAAGGAUGUUGACGUA
rnacentral:rRNA from 1 species